rfam:Triticum aestivum genome assembly, contig: Triticum_aestivum_CS42_TGACv1_scaffold_407035_5BL
CUUCUACUCCCUCCGUUCGGAAUUACUUGUCUCAGAAAUGGAUGUAUCUAGAACUAAAAUACGUCUAGAUACGUCUAUUUCUGCGACAAGUAAUUCCGAACAGAGGGAGUAGUAU